CUCAGACAAGCUGUGGGACCUUGAUCUCUCUGUUGCCGAUUUUCUGGUUGAAAUGACAACUUUUGGUAAAAAGAAGAUUGAAAACAGCACUUAAUUUGCUGUGCAUAAAAGGUGGAAUACCAACAGGACCAACUGACAUGACACACACUGAUGGAAGGCGAUGAAUAUGAUUAGAAGUGAUAGGAAUAUGAUGGUUGAAAAGAAGAACCGAAAUGCAAUCCACUACUAAAACCUGUAAGUAGAACUGAAAGAAAGCUAAUGAAUCCACUCAUAACAGCACCUUUCUUUCUCUGCAAGAUAAAUAUGAUUUUUGUAUGUCUCGU
ensembl:lncRNA